AGGCAAUUCAAUCUUUUGGAUGCAAAAAUGAAUUAUUUCGUUUAUUUUGAUUCCAUAAUCGAGCAAAGAAAAUUCAUCUCGGAGCUUUUAGGUAAUAAAAUAAACGAAAGGGAAACGGACCGAUCAUUCGGGUUUGAGGUCAAAACAGAGAAAGACUUUUUAAAACUGUCGAAGAAAGUAAUCUUUUGGUUUGGAAUUUUGAUUAAUUUCUUUAAUCAAUUUGGAUAUUAAUUCAAUUUAAAAAGGCUAACGGAUCAUCUAGUUAUCAUGACUUUCUCGAUAUUUUGGCCCUUUGCCUCUUGAUGUCUAUUUUUGGUAAUUUUGAAAAUUCAAUUUCUCUUACCUCUUUACCAUGGAAGAAUAGUCUAAUCCGUUGGCCUGAGUUUACUUUGAAUAAACUGAAACAAUCACUUUUUAUGGCACCGAUGUUUUGAUUUAUAGAUGAACACUGAUAUCUGACUGUUGAACUCUCAAGACAAUUCAACGAUCUCAGAUUGAUAUACAUUGCGAUAUUGGUGUGGAAAUAAAAACUGAAACAAAUAUUCACUUGAAGAAUUUAACAGUUUAAUUCUCAUAAAAACUUCACAUGAUUUCAAUUGCUUGUUGUACCUUAAAGUUGAAAAUUGCGACGACAACCUUUUUACCUUUAACCUUAACAAAGAGAGCGUUGUGUUGAAGUAAAAAAAUGUCAAUUCAACUUAACCCAACCC